CAGAGCAUGGAACCCUUUUAGAUGGAGAAUGUAAUCAUGAAUGUGCUGGAGACAUCCUCGAGUCAUGCGGAGGAUCAGACAAAAUAGCUGUCUACCAAGUUAAUAUCGGUGUUUGCGUAGACCCUGGUCCUCCUCCAAACGGAUUCAGGAACAUUGAAGGAAGCUCUCUGCGAUACGGCAACAAAAUUUCCUUUGGAUGUUCCGAUGGAUACAUCUUACAAGGACCUAACUAUAUCCAAUGUGUUCAAAUGUAUGGCGGGAG